UCCGUAGGUGAACCUGCGGAAGGAUCAUUAAAAAUAUAGAGAAUAUUUUAUUCUUAUACCCAAUCUGAGUACUUGUACUUGUUGCUUCCGUGGGCAGCGAGCUGUUAGCUUGCGUCUGCUUUCAUUGUAGACCUGCGGGAGGUAUCAAUAAACCAUGCGUUACGUGAAAUCAGUCUGAAUUGUUUAAUUUUUAAACGUUAAAACUUUCAACAACGGAUCUCUUGGUUCUCGCAUCGAUGAAGAACGCAGCGAAAUGCGAUAAGUAGUGUGAAUUGCAGAAUUCAGUGAAUCAUCGAAUCUUUGAACGCACAUUGCGCCUUCUGGUAUUCCGGGAGGCAUGCCUGUUCGAGCGUCAUCAAAACAUUUCAAGGAUGAAUUUAUUCUUUUCUUGGUUUUGGAAUUGGAGUUGCUUGCAUCUCCCUUUCGAAAUUCAAUGGCGAAGUAGGCUGUUACAAUUAGCGUAGUAAUCAACAUUAUGUUUCGCAAUUGAGUUCGACCGCUUCUGCCGCUAAUCCUCAUAUCUAUGAAUUUGACCUCGGAUCAGGUAGGGAUACCCGCUGAACUUAAGCAUAUCAAUAAGGCGGGAGGGGAAGGUCGGACUGGCCAAGGGCACACAGGGGGGGAUA
rnacentral:rRNA from 1 species